rnacentral:misc_RNA from 1 species
AAGUCGUAACAAGGUUUCCGUAGGUGAACCUGCGGAAGGAUCAUUAAAUAAUCAAUAAUUUUGGCUUGUCCAUUAUUAUCUAUUUACUGUGAACUGUAUUAUUACUUGACGCUUGAGGGAUGCUCCACUGCUAUAAGGAUAGGCGGUGGGGAUGUUAACCGAGUCAUAGUCAAGCUUAGGCUCGGUAUCCUAUUAUUAUUUACCAAAAGAAUUCAGAAUUAAUAUUGUAACAUAGACCUAAAAAAUCUAUAAAACAACUUUUAACAACGGAUCUCUUGGUUCUC